rnacentral:lncRNA from 1 species
GAUCAACUAGUAAAUCUUAGGACAAUUUUGUGUUUAUUCGUUUUAAGAAAACUGUUUGAAUGUUCGUUUUAAUAAGGAAACGAACACUUAGGAAUUAAAAUGUUUUAAAGCAUACAAGAGAAACUAAUUCGAAUCGCCUCGAAGUAGCAGUUUCUCGAGCAAGUAUCUGAAUUUAAACUUGGAGAAGAUUACUGGAAAGUAAACUGCAUUGAAUGAAAAGCAAUUACAAAUAAAGAUGGUUCACAAAACAUACAUUUCUCCUCUGAAUUCCGUUCGUUCGAUCGCUGAGUACUUAGAAUUUUAGAGAGAGUGUUUGCAUAAAAUUUUGUGACCCUUGUUCUGAAUGAAAAACUACUAUAAAUACUACUACAAAGUGGUAACUG